GUUUGGGUAGCUUANAAUAGAGCGUUAGUUUUGUAAACUGAAAAUGAGGGUUUAACCCCCUCCCCUUACU
rnacentral:tRNA from 1 species